rnacentral:rRNA from 1 species
UACGGAGGAUCCGAGCGUUAUCCGGAUUUAUUGGGUUUAAAGGGUGCGCAGGCGGGAUGUUAAGUCGGCGGUGAAAUUUUGCAGCUCAACUGUAAAAGUGCCUUCGAUACUGGCUUCCUUGAGUGUGGAUGAAGUAGGCGGAAUUUGUGGUGUAGCGGUGAAAUGCUUAGAUAUCACGAGGAACUCCGAUUGUGCAGGCAGCUUACUAAACCACUACUGACGCUCAUGCACGAAGGCGUGGGGAUCAAACAGGAUUAGAUA